UAACAGUUUCCCUGUAGGAGCUGCCGCAGGCUGCGAUCUUUUGAUUUUGGAAGCAAGAUCAAAAGAUCGCAGCCUUCGGCAGCUCCUACAUAGACG
rnacentral:miRNA from 1 species